UGUUCAUUAUAAUAUAAAACUUAUAUAAGCUUAUGAUAAGGAUAAGCGUUUCUACCAACUACCGUAAAUAGUUGAUUAUAAGUGAACCAUGCUAGUGG
rnacentral:ncRNA from 1 species